UCAUUCAAUCCACAAUGGGAAGUCGUGAUGAGAUGAGCCAAAUCAUACAUGCUUUGAAAGAAUAUUUUGCUGUGCUGCUAGUAGUUAGGGCAGCCACUAGCAAGUAGCAACCUCCCUUUAGUUCCUUGCUGCAAUAACCUGAACGUAGCUUCAGUGCCUAAAUCAUAUUCAGCUGCUCUCAGAGAAAUACUCAUACAUUCUGUUCUGAAUAUAAUGCUUAAUUUACACCAGCUUAGGUCUUAUUGCUACUGGAUUUGUCUUCGCUCCUGUUAAGUGUGUUGCAUUGAUGCUAAUGAGCUUUCAUUGUUCUCCAAAACUCAAGUAGCAGCUUUUUAUCCAGUUCAAUCUUCCCUCUUGAAAAUUUUAAAUUAUUAGAUAGCAAGUUGUACACCCUAAAACUUUUCUUUUACUUCAUUGUAAAGCUUGACUUCAGAGGUAUUUACUGACUGCCUUUCUCAAAUCAAACAGAAUGGCAUUAAUUCAAGGCCAUUUGUACUGAAGCUUGUAGCUUGGUCUGACACCUGCUGGGCUAGAAUCUAUGUUGGCAACUCGCAAAUAUUAAUUCAGAGGUAUAGUCUGGAAGAACGGUACGCGACAGCGACAUGAGGUGAAGACGAGGGCUCAAUUUCUGGACACUGGCGACAGGAUGCUAUGCGAGGCUGUGCAUACAGGAAAUCUGUUAAAAUUAAAGGAUAAUGUGGCAAGCUAUUCCACCAUUCAAGUUGCUUGGUGAUAUUUAUCUUCUUUUUAAAAACCAUUAAUGUGCUUGUCAUAUUUUGUUUCUUUAGCCAAUAAACCCUUCUACUAUGCUCUCUCGUGGACACCAUAACGGAUGAUUUGCCAUUUGAAUCUACAGAGGAUGCUGAUCUUAAGACAGAACCAGCUGAUGUUACCAUAGAGCCAGCUGAUAUUAUCAAAGAGUCGGCUACAGAUCUUGCUGACGAAAGCCGUCCUCCGCUAUCAGAUUAUUCCCGUGUAGUUACACUGUUACAUAGUACCCUGCCCGUUUUUUAUUUCUUUUUCCUUCCCUUUACUUUGCUGUCUUGGUUCCUGUAAAAUAUAUAGUAAAAACAAUGCAUGGCCCCAAACUUUGUUUUCCUGUGUAGUUACAUGGCAUGGAAACAGACGAGACAAUCCCAAGCAUCGCAUAUUUAUCAAA